CCAAUCAACUAUUGAUGGUAGUAUAGAGGACUAGCAUGGUUGCAACGGAUACCGGGGAAUCAGGGCUCGAUUUCG
rnacentral:rRNA from 1 species